rnacentral:lncRNA from 1 species
ACUUCCACAAUUCAAACUUCUCAGGCUUUUUUGGGGGAGAGGUGGGCUGGUUGUGUGAGUGCAGCCCUUGAGCUGGGUGCGCGGCAAUCCGAGGAUGCUCUCUUCAAGAAGCGUCAGUGCAGGAUGCAAAAACUGGAAUUAAAAAAGGCUGUAUUUUCUGGACAAACGGCAGAUUUUGAGCAGCUUGCCUUAUCUGGGGGCCCUCCUGUCACUCGAACAACUUAGGGACACUAAGACCUACAUGCCAUUUACUGGGCUGAUCUGCACCCAGAAGAAUGGUGGGUUUAGGGGCUUUCUUUUCCUGUUACACAAGAAUUUUUGUGCUCAUAAAGGUGUGCUCACUGCAUAAAACGCUUAUUGUUUUGAAAAAGGGGAGAAUUAAUCAUACUCUACAGUAAAGCAUAUGGAUAACCAGGAGCAGUAAUUCAUUAAGCAGUAUUCAAUCAAACACCCGUGUUUGUGACCUCUGGUUACACACAUUUCCAAGUGCUGGUACACUGUUUUCUUAAACCUCCAAAGCUUGUAACUGUGAGAGCCUCUGCAUGCCUCAAAAUUACAGACUAGCAGGUGAGAGGGGCUGAAGAGACAAGAAGAACCUUCCAGUUGUUUUUGGAAAGUGGAAGGCUCUGCACAGGGAUGAUGUUUCCAAGAAGUCAAAUGUGCAUCACGGAGAGGGAAGGGGUUGUGUAUCACUCAGCCUUAAAACUGCCAUGAAGGGAAAGGACCUCUCUUGUCCAGCUACUGCUGCCAACACAAAGAAGUCAUAGGAUCAUAGAACGCCCCAGGUUUCUCGGGAGUACAACUAAAUGGGAGUGACUGGAGCAUAUCAAGGAGAUGUCACGUCAGCCCUGAAAGAAAACGAUCAGGGGAAAAAGGAACUAUCCGGUGCUUCUCUGGUUUUGUCCUGAAAUCUCACUGUGAGCAGUGGAAUGCUGCUGUGGGCAGGGAGCACGCCUGCUUCCUGCACGCCACACAGGCCCCAUGUGCCAUAAAGAUGUCAGCCCGGAGGCAGAGAUCAUCCCUCCAUUUGUUUAACAGCACUCCCCACGCACAGAGCCCAGCACAACGAGUUUCCAACGUCUGGGAAAAGUGUUUGCACCAGGCGGUCCAUCACCUGCAGAUCUGAUGCCCGGUACAGCCACGAGGGAAGGCGAUGGGUUUUCACCUGGUGUAAUUUACUGCUGGUCUUUUGGCCUCAAAACAGCGAGACAGGUCCAGACCCUCCGUUUGAAUUCCUGUAAAUCUGAGGGCCGUGGCAGAACGCUCCACCUGAAGCAAUGGGCCCUUCCCGCUGCGAUUUGCUGCUAUGAAUUGCUUUCCUCAGUGCCUGUGACAAAUUUUUAUUGAUGUCAAUGCGAGCCAAGGACCUGAAGCAAGAUCUGCUUCUGCUACUGAUUAAAAGAAAAAGAAUGAGGGGAGGAAGGAGAGAGAAAACCGAAGCGUUCCGUAACAUAUUUAAGUAUUAACGUUGCCACAGUUUUAUUAUCUGUAUAGUGAAAGUAAACACAAAACGAUUGAAAUACAUCUCAGUGGCAUCUACGUCCAAUUUCUCUCUGCUUGUUGCAUUUUCUUGGAAUUACUCAUUUAUUUUGAUCACAAAAACAUUUAAAGUAAUUUGUCGAGAGUUAAAUAAAUACAAAAAAAAAUCUGUAUUUGCAUAUUACUUGAAUUUAUGAGCUUUUAUAAAUCUAUUUCGUGAAAAACUAAUUACAGCGAUGGCUGAGUGAGAAGCAGCGCUAUAGAAGACUUAAUUCAAACUACAUUUUUGUUAUAAACUCCUGUUUUAAUUUUCUAGCUUCGCUGAAUAACUACAAUUCGCAGCUGUAGCAAAGUGCCUCAUAUAUAAUGUAUAGAUCACAUCCUCUUGCCAUUUUUCACAGGUGCCUGGCUAUUAUACGGUUCGGAAUUCAUUCAUAGUGCCUAUUAGAGGUCUUUAUAUGUAACCGACUUCCUUUCUUGAAUAUUUAUAGCUUUUAUGAGACAUUUAUGGGCAGACCCAACAAGAGUUUCUAAGGAAAUACUGGGAAAUAUUUCUGUAUAACAUCAUUAAUAUACUGUUCUUUGAUGGUAAUGGCUACAAAUGUCAUCUAAUUGCUAUAUUCUUGCUUUGUCUAAGCUU